rnacentral:rRNA from 1 species
AACGAACGCUGGCGGCAUGCCUAACACAUGCAAGUCGAACGAUAACUUCGGGUCGAGUGGCGCACGGGUGCGUAACGCGUGGGAACCUGCCCUUAGGUUCGGAAUAACUGCCCGAAAGGGGUGCUAAUACCGGAUAAUGUCUCCGGACCAAAGAUUUAUCGACCUUGGGUGGGCCCGCGUUGGAUUAGCUAGUUGGUAGGGUAAAAGCCUACCAAGGCGACGAUCCAUAGCUGGUCUGAGAGGAUGAUCAGCCACACUGGGACUGAGACACGGCCCAGACUCCUACGGGAGGCAGCAGUGGGGAAUAUUGGACAAUGGGCGAAAGCCUGAUCCAGCAAUGCCGCGUGAGUGAUGAAGGCCUUAGGGUUGUAAAGCUCUUUUACCCGGGAUGAUAAUGACAGUACCGGGAGAAUAAGCUCCGGCUAACUCCGUG